GUAGGUGGCAAGCGUUGUCCGGAAUUAUUGGGCGUAAAGCGCGCGCAGGCGGUUCUUUAAGUCUGAUGUGAAAGCCCACGGCUCAACCGUGGAGGGUCAUUGGAAACUGGAGAACUUGAGUACAGAAGAGGAAAGCGGAAUUCCACGUGUAGCGGUGAAAUGCGUAGAGAUGUGGAGGAACACCAGUGGCGAAGGCGGCUUUCUGGUCUGUAACUGACGCUGAGGCGCGAAAGCGUGGGGAGCAAACAGGAUUAGAUACCCUGGUAGUCCACGCCGUAAACGACGAGUGCUAAGUGUUAGGGGGGUUUCCGCCCCCUUAGUGCUGCAGCUAACGCAUUAAGCACUCCGCCUGGGGAGUACGGCCGCAAGGCUG
rnacentral:rRNA from 1 species